rnacentral:lncRNA from 1 species
AAACUCCAGCAAAGCAGAAGAAUUCAAGAGAGAGGAAAACCGAGGGUGUGAGAAGCUGAAACUGACUAAGAACUUCAGGUACAGAAAUUUCGAGUAACAGCUGGGUCACAAGACAACCAACAUUGAAAUCCUCCAAGAGCUGAUUAGAAACUUGAAAAAAAUAAAAAGACGCACUGUUCAAGAAAGCCACUAUCUGAAAUAACACAGGCUGUUAACUCUAAAAUGAACUUGAGACCUGACAAAGCGGAAGGAGCAGCGUUUUUCAUGCGGACAAGGCCAGGCCGCCUUUGGUCAGCAGCACUUGCGCUAACUCCUGACUCUCACUACAAGGAAUUGACUCAUCAGAGGAUGAUUCUGCUCCUGGAGCAAGGAGACUUGAGAACGGGACUGUGAAACAAAGAUUGCAGACCAGUCAUGGUGGAAGUGUAUGGAAGCCACUGACCAAACUGCCACAAUUUUGACGCUAAAAAGGGAAAAGGAAUUGGAGUGCCUGGGUGGCUCAGUCGAUUGAGCAUCUGACUCUUGAUUUCCACUCAGGUAAUAAUGAUCUCACUGUUCGUGAGUUCAAGCCCUGAGUUGGGCUCCGUGCUGACAGUGUGGAGCCUGCUUGGGAUUCUCUCUCUCCCUCUCUCUUGGUCCCUCUCCCCCCUCCCCUACACUCUCUUUCUCUCAAAAUAAAUAAACAGACUUAAAAAACCGGAAAAGUAAU